GGGGCUGUAGCUCAGUGGUAGAGUGCUUGCCUAGUGUGUGAGGCACUGGGUUCGAUCCUCAGCACCA
rfam:Ictidomys tridecemlineatus contig046466, whole genome shotgun sequence.